rnacentral:rRNA from 1 species
UGCCAGCCGCCGCGGUAAUACGGAGGGUGCAAGCGUCGUUCGGAAUUAUUGGGCGUAAAGCGCACGUAGGUGGACAGUUAAGUCAGAUGUGAAAUCUCAGGGCUCAACCCUGAAACUGCGUCUGAAACUGGUUGUCUAGAAUCUCGGAGAGGUAAGGGGAAUUUCUCAUGUAGGGGUAAAAUCCGUAGAGAUGAGAAGGAACAUCGGAGGCGAAGGCGCCUUACUGGACGAGUAUUGACACUGAGGUGCGAAAGCGUGGGUAGCAAACAGGAUUAGAUA